AACUUGCCAGAGAUGGCUUGGUGCCCGAAAGGGAAUCGGAACACAGGUGCUGCAUGGCUGUCGUCAGCUCGUGUCGUGAGAUGGUUGGGUUAAGUCCCGCAACGAGCGCAACCCUUAUCAUUAGUUGCUACGCAAGGGCACUCUAAUGAGACUGCCGGUGACAAACCGGAGAAGUGGGGAUGACGUCAAGUCCUCAUGGCCCUUAUGGGUAGGGCUUCACACGUCAUACAAUGGUCGGUACAGAGGGUUGCCAAGCCGCGAGGCGGAGCCAAUACCCACAAAGCCGAUCGUAGUCCGGAUUGUUCUCUGCAACUCGAGAGCAUGAAGUCGGAAUCGCUAGUAAUCGCAGGUCAGCAUACUGCGGUGAAUACGUUCCCGGGUCUU
rnacentral:rRNA from 1 species